CCCUUAGAUGUCCUGGGCCGCACGCGCGCUACACUGAGUGUCUGAGAUACGAGUCUGCCUGGUCCGGCAAGGUCUAGGUAAUCGCGAAAAGACACAUCAUGCUUGGGAUAGAUUAUUGCAAAUAUUAAUCUUGAACGAGGAAUUCCUAGUAAGCGCAAGUCAACAGCUUGCGUUGAUUACGUCCCUGCCCUUUGUACACACCGCCCGUCGCUACUACUGAUUGGAUGUUUAAGCGAGGUUCUCGAACUGCUAGCGACUUAGCUUCGGUGAGGUCGCAGUGUGGGAAGUGAACCUAGCUUUGGUGUCUAGAGGAAGUAAAAGUCGUAACA
rnacentral:rRNA from 1 species